AAUCUUCUAAUAUGUAAAUCCUGCCCUGGGAAAAACUCUUCAAACAGAGAGACUUCAACCAUAAUACAGGAAGACAGGAAGUGAGCAGUGGGAACCAGAGGGGUGAACUUUCACCUCUCACUUCCUGUUUCUGGCAAGGCCUAGUCUGGAAAGGAAAGCAUGGCAUGGUGGAGACGCUCUCUGUAUUCUCCUGAAUGUAUUCUCCUGGAUGAAAGAUUUGCCUGGCGUAAUGGAUACUUUGAAAACAACAAGAGCGCAGCUAAUAGCACUGAAGAAUGAUGGUGGAAGUUCAUCCUGUGUGGGUGCAUCGUGUGCAUCACCUUCUGUCCUGUCUGAAGAGUUGAACUCAUCUCCUUGUCAAGUGUCGUACUCAAGGCCUAAACAGCUGCUACUUUGGCAAAGUUUCCUGGGACUUCAUAAGGUGU